rnacentral:rRNA from 1 species
AACGAACGCUGGCGGCAUGCCUAACACAUGCAAGUCGAACGAGACCUUCGGGUCUAGUGGCGCACGGGUGCGUAACGCGUGGGAACCUGCCCUUAGGUUCGGAAUAACUUCCCGAAAGGGAUGCUAAUACCGGAUAAUGUCUUCGGACCAAAGAUUUAUCGCCUUUGGAUGGGCCCGCGUAGGAUUAGCUUGUUGGUGGGGUAAUGGCCUACCAAGGCGACGAUCCUUAGCUGGUCUGAGAGGAUGAUCAGCCACACUGGGACUGAGACACGGCCCAGACUCCUACGGGAGGCAGCAGUGGGGAAUAUUGGACAAUGGGCGAAAGCCUGAUCCAGCAAUGCCGCGUGAGUGAUGAAGGCCUUAGGGUUGUAAAGCUCUUUUACCAGGGAUGAUAAUGACAGUACCUGGAGAAUAAGCUCCGGCUAACUCCGUGCCAGCCGCCGCAGUAAUAC